UCCGGUGACCGGGCCCCUCUGGCAAGCAGAACUGCUUGUGAUGUCGGCAUCUGGA
rfam:Rhodospirillales bacterium B29T1 genome assembly, contig: Ga0116950_104